AGAAUAUCUUCCUGUUUGAUAUCCAAUCUUGGCUUCUUUUGCACUUGGGAUGGAUUAUUAGGGUCCUGUAGGAAGGCACCAGGAGCCCGUGGGCCAAUGGGAAGUGAAGCUUGUGCAGCUUGUGAAGAAGGCAGGGAUGUAGCACUUGAUGCCCCCUGUUGUUGCUGCUGCUGAUUCUGCUGGACUUGCUGCGUGCUUGGGUCUUGAUGAUUUCCCUGCUGCACUACAGAGGACCCAUCAAC
rnacentral:misc_RNA from 1 species